UAUGCCUGAGCGGGGUAAAGC
rnacentral:snRNA from 1 species